rfam:Actinotalea ferrariae CF5-4 contig163, whole genome shotgun sequence.
CCCGGUCCUCGGUAGUGGCUCGCGGAGAGCGGUCGGCCCCGUGCCGGCCCUCCGCGGACCUCGAUCGAAGACCGUC